rnacentral:rRNA from 1 species
ACUCAAAGGAAUAGACGGGGGCCCGCACAAGCGGAGGAACAUGUGGUUUAAUUCGAUGAUACGCGAGGAACCUUACCCGGGCUUGAAUUGCAGAGGAACAUAGUUGAAAGAUUAUGGCCGCAAGGUCUCUGUGAAGGUGCUGCAUGGUUGUCGUCAGCUCGUGCCGUGAGGUGUCGGCUUAAGUGCCAUAACGAGCGCAACCCUUAUCAUUAGUUACUAACAGGUCAUGCUGAGGACUCUAGUGAGACUGCCGUCGUAAGAUGUGAGGAAGGUGGGGAUGACGUCAAAUCAGCACGGCCCUUACGUCCGGGGCUACACACGUGUUACAAUGGGGGGUACAGAGGGCAGCUACCGGGCGACCGGAUGCCAAUCCCAAAAACCUCUCUCAGUUCGGAUCGAAGUCUGCAACCCGACUUCGUGAAGCUGGAUUCGCUAGUAAUCGCGCAUCAGCCACGGCGCGGUGAAUACGUUCCCGGGCCUUGUACACACCGCCCGU